rnacentral:rRNA from 1 species
UUAAAUAAAGAGUUUGAUCCUGGCUCAGGACGAACGCUGGCGGCACGCUUAACACAUGCAAGUCGAACGGAGAACAUUGAGCUUGCUUAAUGUUCUUAGUGGCGGACGGGUGAGUAACACGUGAGUAACCUGCCUCUGAGAGUGGGAUAGCUUCUGGAAACGGAUGGUAAUACCGCAUAACAUCAUGGAUUCGCAUGUUUCUAUGAUCAAAGAUUUAUCGCUUAGAGAUGGACUCGCGUCUGAUUAGCUAGUUGG